rnacentral:misc_RNA from 1 species
UCGAGUUUACAACUCCCAAACCAUUGUGAAUCUUACCUUUUCGUUGCUUCGGCGGGAUCGCCCCGGGCGCUUCGGUGCCCCGGAUGCAGGCGCCCGCCGGGGGACCUACACUCCUGUAUUAUAGUGGAUGUCUGAGUGGAUUACAUAAAUAAUCA